GACGAACGCUGGCGGCGUGCCUAACACAUGCAAGUCGAACGGAGAAUUAGCAAUAAUUCUUAGCGGCGAACGGGUGAGUAACGCGUAGACAACCUACCCUUUAGAUGGGGACAACACCGCGAAAGUGGUGCUAAUACCGAAUAUUGCUUGAGAAGCGCAUGCUUUUCAAACUAAAGAUGGCCUCUAUUUAUAAGCUAUCGCUAAAGAAUGGGUCUGCGUCUGAUUAGCUAGUUGGUGAGAUAAAAGCUCAACAAGGCAACGAUCAGUAGCCGGUCUGAGAGGAUGGACGGGCACACGGGGACUGAGACACGGCCCAGACUCCUACGGGAGGCAGCAGCGGGGAAUCUUCCGCAAUGGACGAAAGUCUGACGGAGCAACGCCGCGUGAGUGAUGAAGGUUUUCGGAUCGUAAAACUCUGUUGUUAAGGACGAAUGUAUAGAUUGUGAAUAAUGGUUUAUAAUGACGGUACUUAACGAGGAAGCCACGGCUAACUACGUGCCAGCCGCCGCAGUAA
rnacentral:rRNA from 1 species